AGAAAAUAGAUACCCUGGUAGUCCUGGCCCUAAACGCUGCUCGCUCGUUCUACGGAGUAUCGACCCUCUGUGGGAACUAAAGCUAAACGCGGUAAGCGAGCCGCCUGGGUAGUACGAUCGCAAGAUUAAAACUCAAAGGAAUAGACGGGGACUCGCACAAGUGGUGGAUUAUGUGGCUUAAUUCGUCGACAAACGAAGAACCUUACCAAGGUUAGAAAUCCAGCUGCAUCUUUGGUGAAAGCCGAAGAGCCUUCGAGGGUGCUGGACAGGUGAUGCAUGGUCGUCGUCAGUUCGUGGUUUGAACUGUUCCCUUCAGUGGGGUAACGAACGCAACCCCGUUCGCCUGUUAUAUAUGUCAGGCGAGACUGCUCCCUCACGGGAGGAGGAAGGUGGGGAUGACGCCAGAUCAGCAUGUCCCUCUGAUACCUUGGGCCGCACACAUAAUACAAUGGUCGAUACAGAAGGAUGCGAUACCGC
rnacentral:rRNA from 1 species